rnacentral:lncRNA from 1 species
CUUCCCCCACCUCUGGGGUGGUGGUCCUCUUCCCUUCCUUUUCACCGCAGCUGGCCCUGUGGUUCUCCACGUGGCUUCUCAUGCGUGGUGCCUUCCUUUCCUCCCAACCCCCCUCUCCAGACCUGGGGUGGGGGUGAUGGGAUGGGGGUCAGUCCACUUGCCUUAAAUCUCUCCUCUCUUGUCUAUCUUUUCUCCCACUGCCUCUUUCCCCUUCCCUCCCUCCCUCCAAUGUUUCACAGAAACUUCCUCCACUUUCUUUCUUGUUCUUUGGCUUUUCCUUCUAGGAGGCAGUGAAGAGUGAAGCUGGGAUGUUGAUAGCUGACCUCAAGAAAAGUCACCCGCAGUGGGCUCUCUUAAGGCCUCAACCAGGAGAGACCAAUGAGGGUGCCACACGCCUUUGUGGAAAGGGCUGGAACCAGGUCUCAACCCAGCCAGAGAGCUCACAAGGAGAAAAGCAGUGCUCUCCAGUGCGGUCCACGGAGCCCCGGAGUCCCAGGACCCCUUCAGAGGUCUUCGAGGCCUAAAGAUUCAGAACCAUGUGUGCUGGUGGGACCUCUCUGCCUGAACACUCGCAAACAGCUUAAACUCAGAAUGGAGAACUGGCCGCAUCGCCUUCCUUGCUCUACAGGACACUUGUGUUUGGCACCUCGUGUCCUCUGUCCUCGUCUGAGCUGCCGUGGCCGGGGUGGCCCCUCUUCACUUCCUGCCCAGGGGGCUCCUCUGAUGCCGGCAGGAGCUCCCUUGGCCUCUGCACGAACACAGCUCCUAAGUAGAGGGAGUCAAUGCCCCAGGCACCCUUGACAGUGAGAGACGCGAGCCUGUGGAUAAUCACUCCAUCUUCCGGGCAGACAAUUUGAGGAGGCGUUUGAAAACUUCUCAGCAAGUCCAGACGGAGUCCAGUCCCCGUUGCCCACAGCAUCCACCUCAAUGAGACAGCUUCUCUCAGCUUUUCCUCCUUCCCUGUCCCUCUCUCCCCAGCCCUCGCUCCUGUUCCCUAGGGCCACCUCCCAAAUAAAGUGCCUAGAGCCAAGCCUAGUCAGACUUUGUUCUCUCAGACCCUGUAGCAGUGUGCUGCAGAGGCCGUAACCAAGACGGAGGGGCUUAAACGAUGGAAAUGUCUUGUCUCGCAGUCUGGAGGCUGGAAGUCCAAAAUCACGGUGUUGGCAGGGCUGGUUUCUGAGGCCUGUGUGGGAAGGACGGUCCAGGCCUCUCCCCUUGGCUUGCAGAUGCCAUCUACUCCCGGUGUCUCUGCACUUCAUCUUCCCUUUGUGUCUGUCACGGGGUCCCAAUUUUCCCCUUUUAGGAGGACACCAGUCACACUGAAUUAGGGCCCAUCCUAAUGACCUCGUUUUCACUUGAUUAUCUCUGUAAAGACUCUGUCUCCAAAUGAAGUCCUAUUUGGAAGUCCCGGAGGUCAGGACUUCAAUAGAGAGAGGCGGGGGGAAAGGGCUCACGAUUCGACCCAUGACAGAUAGCAAAGCCAAGACAGACACGGACCUCAAAAGCGCAUUUUCAGGUGGGAUGUGGAACUGGAUCCCCUACUAGUCAGACAGCAGCAAGGACCCAAGGCUGGAAAAGACAGGGAGGUGGGGCUGGCCCCGUGGCCGAGUGGUUAAGUUCGUGCGCUCCGCUGCAGGCGGCCCAGUGUUUCGUCAGUUCGAAUCCUGGGCGCGGACAUGGCACUGCUCAUCAAGCCACGCUGAGGCAGCGUCCCACAUGCCACAACUAGAAGGACCCACAACGAAGAAUAUGCAACUAUGUACCUGGGGGCUUUGGGGAGAAAAAG